GACGAACGCUGGCGGCGUGCUUAACACAUGCAAGUCGAACGGAAAGGCCCUGCUUUUGUGGGGUGCUCGAGUGGCGAACGGGUGAGUAACACGUGAGUAACCUGCCCUUGACUUUGGGAUAACUUCAGGAAACUGGGGCUAAUACCGGAUAGGAGCUCCUGCUGCAUGGUGGGGGUUGGAAAGUUUCGGCGGUUGGGGAUGGACUCGCGGCUUAUGAGCUUGUUGGUGGGGUAGUGGCUUACAAAGGCUUUGACGGGUAGCCGGCCUGAGAGGGUGACCGGCCACAUUGGGACUGAGAUACGGCCCAGACUCCUACGGGAGGCAGCAGUGGGGAAUAUGGCACAAUGGGCGGAAGCCUGAUGCAGCAACGCCGCGUGCGGGAUGACGGCCUUCGGGUUGUAAACCGCUUUCGCCUGUGACGAAGCGUGAGUGACGGUAAUGGGUAAAGAAGCACCGGCUAACUACGUG
rnacentral:rRNA from 1 species